rnacentral:piRNA from 1 species
UCAAGGGUUGCUUCUGAGUGGUGUUU